rnacentral:rRNA from 1 species
UAAGUAGAAGUGAAGCACACGGCUCAACCGUGUAAACAUCUUCUAAACUGGUUAACUAGAGGGCGAGAGAGGUUAUUGGAAUUUCUUGUGUAGGAGUGAAAUCCGUAGAUAUAAGAAGGAACACCGAUGGCGUAGGCAGAUAACUGGCUCGCACCUGACACUAAGGCACGAAAGCGUGGGUAGCAAACGGGAUUAGAUACCCCGGUAGUCCACGCUGUAAACGAUGGAUGCUA